rnacentral:ncRNA from 2 species
UUUUUGAGCUAGGGGUGCCUUUUGGCUGAGAUGGUGUUUGUACCUGACCCUUUGAACCUGACGCAGUUAAUUCUGCCGUAGGGAAGCUGCAAUAGAUUUUU